UAAUGAUGGGUCCGUCGGGAUUUCGAUGAUUCAACAAAGUUUUUUUUUGUCAACAGAUGACGCCACUUUCCAUUCUGGAAAAUACUAUGUGGCGGGGCGAAACAAGCUCUUUCACAGCCCUGCCGAGGGAUCAGCGGAUUGUGCAGGACGGGAAUGGACAGACCGGACAAGACCCUAUGAUUAAUAUUUUCAAGGAGUGGGACCCGAGAACCACUUUCCAUUCAGUAGGAAUAUUGAGUGGUGGUGCGAGGCGGGCCCUUCCACGGGCUCUCCGCUGCGGGGGGGUCGGCCGGGUUGUGGAGGAC
rnacentral:lncRNA from 1 species